rnacentral:rRNA from 1 species
CCUACGGGAGGCAGCAGUGGGGAAUAUUGGACAAUGGGCGCAAGCCUGAUCCAGCCAUACCGCGUGUGUGAAGAAGGCCUUUUGGUUGUAAAGCACUUUAAGCGAGGAGGAGGCUCUUGAGGAUAAUACCCUUGAUGAGUGGACGUUACUCGCAGAAUAAGCACCGGCUAACUCUGUGCCAGCAGCCGCGGUAAUACAGAGGGUGCGAGCGUUAAUCGGAAUUACUGGGCGUAAAGCGCGCGUAGGCGGCUUGUUAAGUCGGAUGUGAAAUCCCCGGGCUCAACCUGGGCACUGCAUUCGAUACUGGCAAGCUAGAGUAUGGGAGAGGAAGGUAGAAUUCCAGGUGUAGCGGUGAAAUGCGUAGAGAUCUGGAGGAAUACCGAUGGCGAAGGCAGCCUUCUGGCCUAAUACUGACGCUGAGGUGCGAAAGCAUGGGGAGCAAACAGGAUUAGAUACCCUGGUAGUCCAUGCCGUAAACGAUGUCAACUAGCCGUUGGGGACCUUGAGUCUUUAGUGGCGCNGCGUAACGUACGAGUUAGUUAGUACCGCCGUUCGGGUAGGUUACGGUUCGGCGAGACGUUAAACCGUUACGAAGAGAGUUAGACGGCGUUGGAGACGUUGCCGACGGACGACGACGACGGGAGGUUAAGG